CCUACGGGUGACAGCAGUCGAGAAUCAUGCACAAUGGGGGAAACCCUGAUGGGGCGACGCCGCGUGGGGGAAUGAAGGUCUGCGGAUUGUAAACCCCUGUCAUGUGGGAGCAAAUUAAAAAGAUAGUACCACAAGAGGAAGAGACGGCUAACUCUGCGCCAGCAGCCGCGGUAAUACAGAGGGCUCAAGCGUUGUUCGGCACCACUGGGCGUAAAGCGUGCGUAGACUGUUGCGUAAGGCGGUUGUGAAAGGCGCGGGCUCAACCCGCGGACGGCACAUGAGAAUGCGAGACUAGAGUAAUGGAGAGGUAACCGGAAUUCUCGGUGUAGCCGUGAAAUGCGUAGAUAUCGAGCGGAACACUAGUGGCGAAGGCGGGUUCCUGGACAUUAACUGACGCUGAGGCACGAAGGCCAGGGGAGCGAAAGGGAUUAGAUACCCCUGUAGUC
rnacentral:rRNA from 1 species